rnacentral:rRNA from 1 species
GUAGGGAAUCUUGCGCAAUGGGCGAAAGCCUGACGCAGCCAUGCCGCGUGAAUGAUGAAGGUCUUAGGAUUGUAAAAUUCUUUCACCGGGGACGAUAAUGACGGUACCCGGAGAAGAAGCCCCGGCUAACUUCGUGCCAGCAGUCGCGGUAAUACGAAGGGGGCUAGCGUUGCUCGGAAUUACUGGGCGUAAAGGGAGCGUAGGCGGAUAGUUUAGUCAGAGGUGAAAGCCCAGGGCUCAACCUUGGAAUUGCCUUUGAUACUGGCUAUCUUGAGUAUGGAAGAGGUAUGUGGAACUCCGAGUGUAGAGGUGAAAUUCGUAGAUAUUCGGAAGAACACCAGUGGAGAAGGCGACAUACUGGUCCAUUACUGACGCUGAGGCUCGAAAGCGUGGGGAGCAAACAGGAUUAGAAACCCCUGUAGUCC